rnacentral:lncRNA from 1 species
GCGAAAAUACCCAAAACAACAAAAUCUAAACGUAAAUGUGAAAGUAAAUCCGAAAGCCUCUAAAUUGUCUGAAUAAGGAGUUAAAGGAACAUGUGUCCAACUAACUCUGUAAAACUGAACUAAAUAAAUAAAUGCAUCAAAUCAUAUUGUCCUCGAAUUAAAGAGGACUCACUGUGUCUCUGUGACUGGAAUGCUACCGCUACUGCUGGACUGGAGCUUGUGUCUCGGAACCUAUGGUGUAACAUGAAAAGAAAGCACCAUAGCGCAAAUGCGUCAGUACAACUGGAGUACUGACUAUACGAGGAAGUUAGGCUGAACAUAAAGGGUUUCAUGCAUGAACAACACUGAUUGACUAAUAUGAACAUUGGAGUGAAAACACACAUAUAUAGAAACUGGGACCGUGAAUAUGUGAUAGCAUAACCUAUAAGCUAAUACAUGGUUUACUGAUAACUGUUCUGACUGAUACUAAAAUCGAUAACAUGGAUGACUAUAUCUGACAGUCCUGUAUAUACUAAAAUCUGAAGAACGCUCUGAGUUCUUUUACUGAGACUGUUAUUGAAACUGAUAACAUGGAUGACUGUAUCUGACAGUUCUGUAUAUACUAAAAUCUGAAGAACUAUCUGAGUUCUUUUACUGAGACUGAUAAUGAAAUUGUAGGAAAUAGUGUUUAUCCGACAUACCCCAUAUAUGCUGUUAUAGCUAAGCUGGGGUCCAAUCUCUGCUCCAACUUGAGGGGUGUCAAUACUGCGCCACUGGUAAGGACAACUGUGAGUGACCCUAAUCUGGUGGGUACUCAAUAAUAACGGUAGGAACCCUAAAUUGACGGGUUAACCCACCUCAUCAACCCUAAGCUGAUGGGUUAAGAUGUCUCAACCUACGCUGGCUACGUAGUUCUAGAACACAAGAAUUGCCACUAAGAAUCACAUCCUGAACUGGCGGUUGAGUUCCCAUCCUUGGGUUCACUCGGUGCUAACCUCUACUCUCAUCUGAAGGACACUGAACUGAAUAACUAAGCUAAACUGAAUAACUAAACUGAACUGAUUAGCUGAACUGAUACUAAUUAACUGGACAAAUACUAAUGGUAUUGUUUAGCAGAGCUAAACUAUGUUUACUAGAUUCAAAUGACUGAAGGAAUGUACUGAGUUCUGAGGACUGGUUGAGAGUACUGAAGUUGCUAAGAUUGACUGUGAAUACUGAGGUUACCGAAGUUAUUGAGCACUGAGAUUACUGAGAUUACUGGACUACUGAGAUUACUGAGAUUUUUGAGUUUUCCUGAGUCACAUGACUGACUGAAUUCUAUAGAUCAUGGCUUGACUAUGAGUAUCGUGAAAACAUGACAUGGCUUUAGGUACACAACUAUAUUUUUUGGGUACAAGUACCCCCAGUACUCGAUGGAAGGAAACUGACACACAUGACUAACUUGAUCAUAAGAGUAGAGUCCAUAAUUUAUAAUAUCAUAAGUAGGUAUCUCAUACUAAGCAUGGUUAUCAACAAUGUAUUGCAUGGAAAGGAUUUCAUAGCACAUGGAAGUACUUGAACAAUCUUAAUAUCAUGUUCAUUGCAUAAUCAUAUUAGCAACUCAUACUAAUAGCUUGAAAGUUCAUGUGGAUUGCAUGGUUAUCCUACAUCUUGUUCAUAAGUAGAAUUUGAAAGUAAACAUAGCAUAAUCUCAUAAUAAUAGUUCAUGAGUAUUCCAACAACAUUUACAAAGCACAUUAACAACAUAGAAGUCAUUGGAACAUAAGGACAUAUAAUGAAUCUUUCACUUAGUCACAAUUUAGCUAUAUUGCAUGAUUUCUAGUUCCUUAGGCAUUUUAUCAAAAACCUUACAUGCACAUCUUAAGCAUAGGUGAAUUCAUCAAAUUAUACAUCAUGAACAACAAAAUUUACAUGUUUCUAACUCAUAUGAUAUCAUGAAUUCACAAAAACAUAUAAAGAUUCAAUCUUGGGAAUCAACCAAUAUCAACAACAUGAUCAUUAACACCCAACACUAUAGAAAUCAAACGUUCAUAAUGAAAAAGGGGAAAACAAACAAGCAUCAACAUGGGUAUGAUCAUAUCACCAUAAUCAACCAAGCUUUUGUAUUUUAAAGAUUUAUUCUUGAACUCUAUAAACGAAUUGAAUCCAUAGAUGAACACUACACAUACCUUAGAAGGAAGAUUCUUGAUGAUUGAAGGAGGAAUUUCCUUGAAAUCAGAUCUUCAAGCUUACUUAUCAAACCCUAGUUGUUUUUCUCCUUUAGUGCUCUUGGAUGAUGAGCUUUGAGAUGAAAAUAGGGUUCCAGUAUGUUUAGAAGAUAUAAAUUUCGUAGGGUUAAG